rnacentral:rRNA from 1 species
AGAGAGAGACAUGCGCGCAUAUCAAUAAGCGGAGGAAAAGAAACUAACAAGGAUUCCCCUAGUAACGGCGAGUGAAGCGGGAAGAGCUCAAAUUUGAAAUCUUAAAGGGUUUCCCUUUACGAAUUGUAGUUUAAAGAAGUGUUUUCUGUUGAGGUUUUGGUAAAAGUUCUUUGGAAUAGGACAUCAUAGAGGGUGAGAAUCCCGUAUUUGACCUUUACUUUCAACUUUGUGAUACACUUUCAAAGAGUCGGAUUGUUUGGGAAUGCAGUCCAAAAUGGGUGGUAAAUUUCAUCUAAAGCUAAAUAUUGGCGAGAGACCGAUAGCGAACAAGUACCGUGAGGGAAAGAUGAAAAGAACUUUGAAAAGAGAGUUAAACAGUACGUGAAAUUGUCAAAAGGGAAGCGUUUGACACCAGUGUUGUUUUUCUGAAAAUCAAUUAAAGAACUGUUUAUGCUAAGUUGUUUAGACUUUAUCAGCUAACUGUUUAGUAUUGAGCUUUUCUUUAAUGCACUUUUCAGUUAACAAGUCAACAUCAAUUUCUUUUGCUGUAAAAAAGCUUGAGGAAGGUGGCUUGAGAUUCGUCUUAAGUGUUUAUAGCCUCUUGCCUAUGCAGUCGGAGAGAUUGAGGUCUGCAGCGUAGAUCCUUCGGGGCUAAAUGCAUUUGUGCUGAGUUAUAGGCAUUUUAUAGACAACUUGUUGACUAUGAUUUGUCUUGUAGCUUACUCGCUUAUGUUAUUUUACCUACGCUUAGGAUGUUGAGCGCAUGUCUCUCUCU